AACGAACGCUGGCGGCAUGCCUAACACAUGCAAGUCGAACGAGACCUUCGGGUCUAGUGGCGCACGGGUGCGUAACGCGUGGGAACCUGCCCUUAGGUUCGGAAUAACUCCCCGAAAGGGGUGCUAAUACCGGAUAAUGUCUUCGGACCAAAGAUUUAUCGCCUUUGGAUGGGCCCGCGUUGGAUUAGCUAGUUGGUAGGGUAAAAGCCUACCAAGGCGACGAUCCAUAGCUGGUCUGAGAGGAUGGUCAGCCACACUGGGACUGAGACACGGCCCAGACUCCUACGGGAGGCAGCAGUGGGGAAUAUUGGACAAUGGGCGGAAGCCUGAUCCAGCAAUGCCGCGUGAGUGAUGAAGGCCUGAGGGUUGUAAAGCUCUUUUACCCGGGAUGAUAAUGACAGUACCGGGAGAAUAAGCUCCGGCUAACUCCGUG
rnacentral:rRNA from 1 species